rnacentral:rRNA from 1 species
UACGGAGGGUGCAAGCGUUAAUCGGAAUUACUGGGCGUAAAGCGUGCGUAGGCGGUUCGUUAAGUCUGUUGUGAAAGCCCCGGGCUCAACCUGGGAAUGGCAAUGGAUACUGGCGAGCUAGAGUGUGUCAGAGGAUGGUGGAAUUCCCGGUGUAGCGGUGAAAUGCGUAGAGAUCGGGAGGAACAUCAGUGGCGAAGGCGGCCAUCUGGGACAACACUGACGCUGAGGAGCGAAAGCGUGGGUAGCAAACAGG